GUGGUUUUCACUUCCUUCUCGUCAGAGCCGUAUCCGGGUCUUUGCUCUCCCUAUUGUUUCAGCCAGUCGGCCUCAGACUGUGGGGAUUCUGGGUCUUUUGUUGCUUCUGGUGCAGGAUAAUAAAGUUUUCUGUUCUUUUUAUUUCUGGCUUUUACGGGGGCAGCUCCCCUCGCAGGGCGGCCGGGCGGGCCUGGCGCUGCUGACCGGCGAGCACGGGGGAAGGGGCGGGGUGGGGGUGGGGAGGGACGGUGGCCCGCCCCCGGGGUCGCCCCUGCUCGGCCGGCGCACCGCCCCGCGUAACUAGCUGCUCUCGGACUGGUCUCCGUGGCCCUCCGCGCGUCCCCGCUGCCUCGCCUCCUGCAGCGUCUCCCUAGGUCUCCUCCAAACGACCACCUCACGGAUUCCUUAUGGAUCGCAGCUCCAAGAGGAGGCAGGUGAAGCCUUUGGCAGCUUCUCUUCUGGAAGCUCUCGAUUAUGAUAGUUCAGAUGACAGUGAUUUUAAAGUUGGAGAUGCUUCAGAUUCUGAAGGGAGUGGUAAUGGAAGUGAAGACCCUUCAAAGGACAGUGGAGAAGGCUCCUGUAGUGAUUCUGAGGAAAACAAUUUAGAAGAAGAACUGAGUGAAGAUAUUAAAGUAAAAGAAGAACAGCUUAAAAAUUCUACAGAGGAAGAAAUAGUGCCAUCAGAUAAACAGUUAAUUAAAAUGGAAAAGAAGGAAGAAGAAGAAAAUGGAGAAAGACCUAGAAAGAGAAAGGAGAAAGAAAAGGAAAAGGAGAAAGAAAAGGAAAGAGAGAAGGCAGCAGUAUCUGACAGUGCAGCUGCUUCUGCUGCCGCCACCACAGCCACGAGUCCUGCUGUCACCUCCCCUUCUGUCCCUGCCACCACCGCCCCCGAGGAACAAGUCAGUGAGCCCAAGAAAUGGAAUCUUCGUCGAAACCGACCCCUUUUGGACUUUGUGUCCAUGGAAGAGCUGAACGAUAUGGACGAUUAUGACAGUGAGGACGACAAUGACUGGAGACCUACCGUAGUAAAGAGAAAGGGGAGGUCGGCGUCUCAGAAGGAGGGCAGUGACGGAGACAACGAGGAUGAUGAAGAUGAGGGAAGUGGGAGCGAUGAAGACGAGAAUGACGAGGGCAAUGACGAAGACCAUAGCAGCCCUGCUAGCGAAGUGGGCUGCAAGAAGAAGAAGAGUAAAGUUCUUAGCAGAAACAGUGCUGAUGAUGAGGAACUGACCAAUGAUAGCCUGACCCUAUCUCAGAGCAAGAGUAAUGAGGACUCGCUGAUUCUUGAGAAGAGUCAAAACUGGAGUUCCCCAAAAAUGGACCACAUUCUGAUUUGCUGUGUUUGUCUUGGAGAUAACAGUGAAGACGCGGAUGAAAUAAUUCAGUGUGACAAUUGUGGCAUUACCGUUCAUGAAGGAUGUUACGGAGUUGAUGGGGAGAGUGACUCUAUUAUGAGUUCGGCUUCUGAAAACUCCACUGAGCCUUGGUUUUGUGAUGCCUGCAAAUGUGGUGUUUCUCCUAGCUGUGAGCUAUGUCCUAAUCAGGAUGGAAUUUUCAAGGAAACUGAUGCUGGAAGAUGGGUUCACAUUGUUUGUGCCCUAUAUGUUCCCGGAGUAGCCUUUGGAGAUAUUGAUAAGUUACGACCAGUAACACUAACAGAAAUGAACUAUUCUAAAUAUGGUGCCAAGGAGUGUAGCUUUUGUGAAGACACUCGCUUUGCUAGAACUGGAGUUUGCAUUAGCUGUGAUGCAGGGAUGUGCAGAGCCUAUUUUCAUGUUACCUGUGCGCAGAAAGAAGGCCUGCUUUCCGAGGCGGCAGCAGAAGAGGAUAUAGCAGAUCCAUUUUUUGCUUAUUGUAAGCAACAUGCAGAUAGGUUAGACAGAAAGUGGAAAAGAAAAAACUACUUGGCUCUACAAUCCUAUUGUAAAAUGUCUUUGCAAGAGAGAGAAAAACAACUGUCCCCUGAAGCACAGGCGAGGAUCAAUGCCCGACUACAGCAGUAUCGUGCCAAGGCAGAGUUGGCUCGAUCUACCAGACCUCAAGCCUGGGUUCCAAGGGAAAAGUUACCCAGGCCACUCACAAGUAGUGCUUCGGCCAUUCGUAAACUGAUGCGCAAAGCAGAGCUAAUGGGGAUCAGUACAGAUAUCUUCCCGGUGGACAAUUCAGAUACCAGUUCUAGUGUGGACGGAAGGAGGAAACACAAGCAGCCAGCUCUCACUGCUGAUUUUGUGAAUUACUAUUUUGAGAGAAAUAUGCGCAUGAUUCAAAUUCAGGAAAAUAUGGCUGAACAAAAGAAUAUAAAGGAUAAAUUAGAAAAUGAGCAAGAAAAGCUUCAUGUAGAAUAUAAUAAGCUCUGUGAAUCUUUAGAAGAACUGCAAAAUCUGAAUGGGAAACUUCGAAGUGAGGGGCAAGGAAUAUGGGCCUUGCUUGGCCGAAUUACAGGGCAGAAGUUGAAUGUACCAGCGAUCUUACGAGCACCCAAGGAGAGAAAACCAAGUAAGAAAGAAGGAGGCACGCACAAGACAUCUGCUCUCCCUACAGUACUUUAUAGUUGUGGAAUUUGUAAGAAGAACCAUGAUCAGCACCUUCUUUUACUGUGUGACACCUGUAAGCUGCAUUACCAUCUUGGGUGCCUUGAUCCUCCCCUUACACGGAUGCCAAGAAAGACCAAAAACAGUUACUGGCAGUGCUCAGAGUGUGACCAGGCAGGGAGCAGUGACAUGGAGGCAGACAUGGCCAUGGAAACCUUGCCAGACGGAACCAAACGAUCCAGGAGACAGAUUAAGGAGCCCGUGAAAUUUGUUCCGCAGGACGUGCCACCAGAACCCAAGAAGAUCCCUAUAAGAAACACGAGAACCAGAGGACGAAAGCGAAGCUUUGUUCCAGAGGAAGAAAAACAUGAGGAAAGAGUUCCUAGAGAAAGAAGGCAGAGGCAAUCUGUGCUGCAAAAGAAGCCCAAGGCUGAAGACCUAAGAACUGAAUGUGCAACCUGCAAAGGGACUGGAGAUAAUGAGAAUCUUGUCAGCUAAUAUUAAACUCGGAUUGAAUUAGAGUUUUAACUGGACUUCCUUGAUGUGUUAUGUAUCCAUAUUCAAAGGACUAUCACAGAUACCCUUCAUGAGACCCAACUCUGCCACAGCUCAUCCUCGGAGGCAAUCCCGGAAACCUCUUUUAUAAGUGUGAUUUAAAAAAUGUGGAUAAAACUCUCAAUAGAGCAUAUAACUAAAGGAGAACAGCUAUCUUGUCCUUCCCAUAAGCUUAUCACUGCAAAAAAGUGCUUUUGCUUGUCAGGUUUGGAUAGAAUGUAAUUGAUUGGUCUGUUAUAUGGGUAGACAAGGCAGUUAAUUUGCCUGCAGCGAAUUUUUUUUCUUUUCCUUUUUUUCUAUUUUCUUCUUUCUCCCCUUCUUUUCUUUCCUAUUUCUUUUCUUUUUUUUUUUUUUUUGUAACAAUACUCAAACAGUUGGUGUACGCAUUAUUAAAAACUACAGUGGGUAAUGUCUUGUCAAAAUUGUUUUAGUGGGUAAAUAAAUGUCUUUCCCUCUUGCUUCUUUGGCACACAACGAUACAGUAUUUGGACUCAAUGAAGACUGAAGGAAGCCAGUGGGACUUACAUGCUCUGUGCUUCCCUGUGCUUGAACAAUUAUCUCCGUUAUUUGUUUGUAAAAGGACAAUGCUUGCCACUCAUCUGCAAGUCUGUAUCAACUUAUUUUCUUCAUGUAUUCAGACAUGAAAGAAAUUCUGCAAUGAGAACAACUCUAGGUUCAAUUUUACUAUUAUUCCUAUUUGUGGUAUUCAGCACCAGUGAAAGAGUGGUGAAGAGUCCGACCUUCCGCUGUUGAGUAGUACGGAAGCACUCGCUAUCAGCAUGGACGUUUUAGGACUAGAACUUAAGCUCAAGUAACCGUACUAUACUGUCUGUGUUAGUCUGUAGGUGCUCUUCUCAGAGUUACCACAUUCAUUCCUUAUUGUUUUAUUUGAUACGAACUCUGUGUGCUCCAUAUAGUUUUACUUUUUUGAACUCAAAUGCGAAGCUGUGAAAUGAGGGAGAUACAGAGCUUGUUGACUAUACAACCCGCCUGCUGAGAGAUCCUCACAGCACCUGUGCCUCCUCAGAGGUGUACUGAGCUUGCCUUUGAUCUUCACGCUUUACUGGCCCAGUUCUCAGUCAACGGCAGAAAUACUUUGAAUAUUGUACCACUAAAUCUUGAACUGAUUUAGAAGAGACUGCUGAAAUUGAAAUGUACAUACACAUGUAAAUUGUCAGAUUGUCUCUUAGAAUUCCAUUGUUUAUCAUUGUGGGUUUGGAUCUUUCCAGGUUUCGGGGCAUUUGGAAUAGUUUAAACUGUAGGAAUAGAAUAGUAGCUAGCCAAUGUAUGUGUAAUGCAAAGUCGGUGUCUCUAGUAAUCUGUAGUAAUAGGAACCAUAUCAUUGGAUAAAAUGUUUAUUGCACAUGUAGGAAAUAAUAUAUAAAUAUGCUAUUUAUUUAUUGGCAGAUCUUAUGGCACUGGAGAAAAUAUCCUUAGGAAAAGCAUUAUGCUUUCUUUAAAUAUAAGGAAGAACCAACUGUCAUUACUUAAUUUAUGGAAAAGUUGAUGAACUCCAGCAAAUUUUAUAAAAAAAAUGACAGUGGCAGAUUAGCAUUUUUCAAAUGAACUGUGCUUUAGCCCAACUGUCUUUUAGUAUAAGGCAAGAAAACAUUAAUGGAUAUUUUUUAACUUAGCGUUUUUUCCCCCUCUUACAGGUUUCUGGUUUUUGAUUUUCCUGAAAAAUCAUAGGUAGUGUAGUUGCAAUGACAAGCCCUUUCAUGUUGGUUAAACUGUAAAAUGUCUAAUUACCGUCUUCAUAUUUUAGUUUUCAGUGGUAGAUUUUGCUCUUCCAAGUUUGGUAAACAACCCAUGUUACAUGUUUUACAUGUUACAGAUAGAAGUUGCACAGUUCCAAUAUGAUAGAUUCUUAAGAGUCUCCAAAUCUGAAGAGAAUAGAAUGAAAUGUUUCCCUUAGUAAACAGUAGAAAGUUAACUUUUGCCCAUUGCUAUUAAAGUUGAAAUGAUUAUUUAUCUAAGAAAAUAUUUCAAAAUGAUUUAUAUCUCAUAAAUAUGAGUAAAAGGAUGACAGCUCAGGUAUUCGACAGUUAUUUGCCACAGAAUAGGAACUGGAAAAAGCAUUGCAAUAGCAGGAAGGCUCUGGGAGAAUACUUACUUGGUAAAAUGUGUGUAAGCAUGAGGACCAGUACUCAGUGAACAGCCAGGUGUACUGGCUCACUCUCCUAAUCUUAGAGAGUGCUAAGGCAGGAGGUUCUCUGUGGCUUACUGGUCAGCCACUGUGCAGACUGGGCAAGUACCAGGCAACUGAGAGACCUUAGCUCAAAACACAUAGUUGACAAUUCUGAAGCAGGAAGGCAGACCAGCACACACCACGGGUACAUAUACACACACAUACACACACACGCACACACCAAUCUACCUACAUGGUAUUGGGAAGGAAAUUAAAUGCCUCUAAAUACACAAUGGAUGAUAUGGUAGUGAUGAAUCAGAAUCACAGAAAGCAUUUGUUGAGGCUUUGUUGGCUAUCAUCAUCUCCUUGCCCUCCUGUUCCACCAGAACUUCUGUUCUCUCUGCCUCUCUGAAGUUUUUAAUCCUGUAGUUUUCUGAUAAGAUGCAAAAAUAUGAAUUUGUAACAUGUUCAAAAUAAUGUUGAUUCAACUAGUCAGGGACAUUACUUUGAGAACAAUUAAUGUAGUUAUUUGUUUAAAAUCAUAUAUUCAGUAUUGAUUAACAAUGAGUGUGGAUGUCUUUAAGGGGCUGAGAUUUCUCAAAAUAUUUGUUUCCAGACAGAAGGUUUGUAGAAAAGUAAUUUAUUCCUGAACACAUAAGAUGCAGCUUUUUUCAUUUUUAAAAAUUCAUUUAAAUAUUUAUUUUACAAAUAGAGCAAUACUGUAUGCCCAAAAUAUCAUCGACUUUUUGCUUUUUGUUUUUUCUUAAGAGUUGGGAUUAUGUAGGAUAUGAAAAUAAUAUUUGAGUUAUAAAUUUGGAUAUUUAUGCAUCACUUAUGUAUCAUUGUAGUUGUGUUUCCUGAAUGUUUACCCAAUAUUAUAUGUGACAUAAAAAUAGAUGUCUGACAGAUAAUAUUUAUUUUGUUGCCCUACUUCCCGGUUUGUACAUCCUAUUUCUUAGUGAAACACUUUUUAAGGUCUCAAAGUUAAAUAAACACACACAUCAUUGAUACGUUUUACUUAACUCACAGUAUGGAAAUAUUUUACCAAAAUCUGUUUAGGAAUUCAGGACUCUGUAAUAUAUUAGAACAUUAACAGUUUUCAAAAUAUUUUUAGCUUCUGAAAUUAUUUUUGGCUAGUGAAAACAUAUGGACUGAUAUCGACAAGAUAUAUGAAGGCAGAAUUUAUCCAUAUAGGCUGAACCAUUGCUUUGUAAAUUUAGAUACCAGUAAGGAUUGUAAAAAAAAAAAUCAGAGACUGGUUUUACAAGUGAUUUUUUUUUUUAUUAAAAAAAAAAUGUAGGUGUCUUUCCUGUAGUGAUUACCCUAAGGUGUUGUGUAGACCUGCAGUGAGAUGACUGCUGUUCAGGUACAUAAGAUGUAAUGAAAUUGAAUAUUCACGCUGGGGUGGGUAACUAAAAUGAGGCCAACCCCUAGCCAUUAUCUCAUUUACCUGAUUUACAUUGUAGACUCAGGAUCUACACUAUUGAUUGGAGUAUAAUUAGUUAAUUAUGAACGGGGAAAUACACAGUUUUGUGGCGCUUGAACACAGCAGGUUAUAAUGCUAAAAUAUUUUCAAGGGCAUUAGCAGAUGUAGAUCAGUUUAUUAAAGAACAAAGCAGACGUGUUUCAGGUAUAAAUGUCGAAUCAUUCUCUCAUGCUGUGAAGAGAUAUUUGGCCUUAUUGUGUAUUUUCAUAGGAAUUGCCUUGUUUCAUGUUCUGUUUUUAGGUUUUAUUGUUGGUUUUUUAUUUCACUUUUAAAAUUACAAGCUGGCUGUUAGCAGAUAUAGAUAAUGAACUGAAUCCACUCUUUAAGUGGUCUUGAAUUAUGCUUUUCCUAAAUUGUUUCAAUUUGUCUAUAGUCACCUGUAAUGAAAAAUUAUAGUCUAUCCUACCACCCCCUCUUUCACUAUUGUCUGUGAGAGAAAUCCCCAGUAGCAUUAAUGAAAUAGGUUCACGUGUUCCACAUUGGUUUGAAAUUUGUGAAAUAUUAUUUAAAAUACAUUUUUCUAGUCAAUCUGUAUAGAAAAUGCUUGUGUAGUGGCUUACACUAAAAUUGUUAAAUAUUACAAAGGAUAAAAUAUUGUAGUUAUAAGUGUUAUACCAUUGAUAGAAUGUAAGAGUUUUGUGACAGUUCAUAUUAUUUAAAAUUUUUAAGGGGCCUCGGUUUACACUGUAAACUGUUUACUGAAAUAACCUAUCAUUGUAGUUGCUAAAUUUGAGUUUGAAUUGCUAGUAAGGUUUUAUUUAAGCAGUGUUAAUAUUCAAAACUAAUUGAUAGGAAAGUCAGAACUCCUCACCCCAUUUGUUCUCUUUAUACUCUUAUUUCUAAGUGAAAAAUGUAAUGUUAUGUAGUUUUACAGACAGUUCUUUAUCCAGCAUUGUAUAGACUAGGAAGGAAUGCUGACUUGUUGGGGGAGGCUGCUUGUUCAUUUCCCAGCCGCCCAGACUCCCAAAAUAAUCACACAGAAACUUUAUUAUUUGAAUCACUGCUUGGCCAAUCACUUAAAGCAUAUUGCUAGCUAGCUCUUAUAUCUUUGGUUAACCCCUUUCUGUUAUUUUGUAUUUUACCAUGAGGGUCAUGGCCUACUGGCAAGGUUCCAACUGGCAGCUCACAUCUUUCCCCUCUGGAGGCUGCAUGGUGUCUCCUGACCUUGAGGUCUUUCUCCCAGCAUUCAGUUUAGUUUUCCCGCCUAGCUCCACUCUUCCAAGUCAUUGGCCAAAGGCUACUUUUUUAUUCAUUAACCAAUAAAAGCAACAUACAUACAGAAGAACUUCCCACACCACUGAGUACUGUGGUUAUUAAGGUAAAAAAUAUCUACAAUGAUCAACACCAGUGUGAUCCUACAACAGUACAUUUCUUUUAAUGUCUGAACCACAGAUUUUGUUCUUUCCAAGGCCAGUUUAUCAUGUAGUCUUAGACUGUUUGCUUAGGCGAUGUACUCACUUAUUUCCUCUAGUUAUUUUUAAGUAGUUACUUAGUGUGUGCCCAAAAUGAACUUAUUAAUUGGAAGUUAAGAAAGGUAAAUAAAUCCUUUAGGGCAGUAGUCCUCAACCUUCCUAAUGCUAUGACCAUUUAAUACAGUUCUUCAUGUUGUGGUGACCUCCAGUCAUAAAAUCAUUUUUGUUGCUACUUCAUAAUUGUAUUUUGCUACUGUUAGGAGUUAUAUUGUAAAUAUCUGUGUUUUUCAGUGGUCUUAGAUGACUCCUGUGAGAGGGUCAUUUGAUUACUAAAGGAGUCAUGACCCCACAGGUUGAGAACCACUGCUUUAGCGCUUUGAUUGACUUGCCUUUAGGUACAAGAGAAAAUAAAUCAGUUACAUAUUUUUGUUUGUUUCCACAUUGUCAAUAGUCACUCAACACCCAACCUAAUGCUUGUGUGGAUCUUAGCACUCACAAAGAUCAGUCCAUUUUCUCUGCUUUGUCUAGGGUGCUAUACUUAAUCAUUAUGCUAAGUAAGUAUUUUAAUACAAAUAGAGCUGUGUUUCUUUAAUCUCUCUGUUUUGCUAAAUCAGUUUGUAAAAGACCAUAUAGAGCUUCUCUGUCAUUAGUCUCUGUAUAUCAAAUAUGAAUGUAGUAUGUAGGAAGUUGUAUUUCAUAGGUACGUAAGUAAUUAGUUUUUGUUUUACAUUAUAAAUUGGCUUUGUUUCAUUUCAUUAAGCUGUAAAUUUUAGGAUACUCUGUAGUCUAAUGUUCACAAUAUUUAUUAGAUGCUUUAAACAUACUUUAAAUGUUGGGUUUAUAUUUUAUUUAAAGAUACAUUCUUCAUAUUGCUAGUUUUAUAUUCUCUUUUCAUGCUUAAGGUACUGCCUUCUUUUUAUUAGAAUGUGCUAUUGGUAUAAUAAUGUUUUAUUACAUACACGUUUGUUUUGUUUAAUAAAGUAUGUUGUGUUAUAUCACAAUACUUUUGUGGGUCAUUAACUUCCUUUGAAAACUUAUUUUUAUUCAUUUAUCUUGACAAAUUAAGUAUGUGUAUUGCUACAAUUGAAAUGUUUUCAAGUACUUAAUAAACGUAGAAACCAAGUAAAAUUGAUAAAGUAACUGUUUUUACCCUAAUAUAGUUUUCAGGGUAUAACCAUUAUAGACUUAGUUUUUGAGCUUUAAAUAUAUUUGAAUUUUCUAUGUAGCCAAAAUUUGCUAGUUUCUAAAUUUUGAUAAAGAUUUCAUAGUGACGUGUGUGCAUGUGAUGUAUAGCUUAUUAUUUUAGUCUUCUAUAUUCUGUGUUUUGAGAAUUUUAAUGAUAACUCUAAAAUUUAUCAAUGGCCUUUUAGUUAAUGCAAAUUCUGCUAGGUGUAACCUCUGAUGUUUAGGAUAUAAUUGUUACCAGUAACCUAAAAUUAUGAUUUUAUUUUCAUUUUAACAGAAUUAAUGAAUUUUUCUAUAUGCAAAUAACUUGUAAAAUUCCUUUUUAUAUUUAUUAUUUACUUGGCAAACCUGUUAAUUUCAAAUGGGGUGUUUCUCUCUGUCUUUUUCUUUCUGUCUCUUGGAUUUUGGUGGUUGCUAAGGGUAGAGACCACUGCUUUAUGCUAUUUAAACUUGGAGUUGCAGCUUUUACUUCCUGGUGAGUAAGCAAGGACCUUAGAGAACUAUCCUAACACUCCCAGUUGUCCACCAUCAUGAAAAAGACGUCCUGAAAUGGACCCUGAUGAAGGUAUCAGGAAGAAUUAGGUCAUCUCAAAAGAGCAAAUGCUUCACAGCAUCUUCUGAAAGAGCUACCAAUACCAGAACAGGUAUUGGAUCAUUUAAAUUUUUAAAUGUAUUUUUAGAUGCCUCAUUUCAAACAUUGUCACUUUCACAGUCUUAAUACUUUUGGUGGUCUGAAUUCUACACAAGAUGUUUCUUUAAGAAAAUUGUUGUAAAAAAUAUGCUGAUAAUAUAAGGAGACAAUGGCUGGUAGUUUUUAAGCAAGUACGAAUUCUGAAAAUUUGAAUGUAAGGGAUCAGGCAAAACAGCAGCUGAAUGAUAUACUUUUAACUACAGAAAUUUGACAGAGAAAUGCAGUACCAACUGUAAUUCCGACUGAUGAUCCCAGUGUAUCAAACGAGGAAAAAAUAUUUUAUGUAUUCCAAAUAAUGAUAUGAACCUAAUAAUGGUAUUUUUUAUAAACUUCCCAUCAAUCAAGGGUUAGUGGCAUAUUAGUCCCUGUACUUGAACAGUGUUCCCUUCCUAACUACAGCUCUGGACCCUCUCUUCAGCUUAGAAAAAGCAUACUUCAAAGGUUUCUGUCCCCAGUAUUUAGUGGAAUGGACAUUUUAGCUGCUGGAAUGUAAAUUAGUUCAAUUGAGAAAGGAAGACCCUAAAUUCUCUAUGCUUACUAUAUGGUAUUCUUAUUUUACAUUUGAAAUUAGGUAUAUAAUCUUAUUUUUUAAAUGCCAGAGCAACGGUAUUUGAACAUUUAAAAUUUGUGAUUUACUUUUGUUUUUUUUUUAAUUUCAGACAAUGGUAUAAUAUAUAGCAUUUAUUAGUUGUAUUUCAUUUUAUUCACUCCUGUAAGUGAAAUAACAGUAAAUGUAUAGUUAAUUCCUUGAGUCUCAAAGGUUUGAGAAGAGUUCCUUCACUUGCUUCAUUGCUAAGUAAUGAGUUGUGGAGAGAUACUGCGUAAGCAGUGGCAAGUGACUGUCUCACACUGCCCGUGCCGCCAUAGCUCGGCUCUUGAAUCCUGAAAUGGGUCCGUGAGAGGCUAGGUUUUUGUAACAUGGUAAGACAUUUUUACUAAAAAUACAGAUUAUCAUUUACUUUAUUGUGAUCAUUUCUUAAAGUUAGUUUUUUUUCUUUCUGUGGCAUAUGCAUAAGAUUAAUUCCAUUCUGUAUUUUCCCAAUGAUUAUUAAAUAGGAAUUUUUAUAUUGUAUUCAAGAAGUGUGCUUAUUAAAUUCUUUCUUGGUGUUUUGCUUGUAAAUUAAUUGACUUUUGACACACUAGUGAAAAAUGAGUGAUAAAGGGAAAUCAAUUUGUUAACAAUAGUAUUUCUUUUUAAUCUAAAGCACAAAGAAAGUCAGGAAUAUAACCCUUCUGUAAGAUAUAUACAACUUGGUAUUGGUUGUUAAAUUUUAGUCUUGUUAUUCCAGUUGAUGAAAAAUUCUUUUUAAAAACACUGAAAUAAUACAGAUUUUUCUUCAUUGUCAGCAGGAAGAGAGUGUCUGAAACGAAGAAUAGAUGUGAUGAAUGCAGACUGUGCUACCAUUUUGGCUGUUUAGAUCCUCCUUUGAAAAAAUCUCCUAAACAAACAGGCUAUGGAUGGAUAUGUCAGGAAUGUGAUUCUUCAUCUUCUAAG